GUCUCAUGUAUUUGCAAUGUAAUUUGAUUUUUAGCUGAUUCUUAAUAUAAGUGAAUCAGUGACAAAUACCGAUCUGGUAAUGGCUUCUAUUGGAAGGUGCUGAGGAUAAUAUAAUUAUUUUCAGAUUGCAUUCAGCAUAGCAAAUAUAGCGUGUCAUGCGCUUUUAAAUGUUGCUGCUCUAAUACAGAUAAAAGAUUGUAUUACGAAAGGCCCCCUUGCUUUCACUUUUCUAGCAAUUAUAGCAAAAGCGUGGUUAUGUAAAAGUGUCGUAUUGGGAAUUAUUUUGAGCUUGGAAUGUGAGAAGUUCUACUCGGCCAUGAAGAAGGUUCAGAUCACAGUGACACCACUGAUUCAGUCUACCAGAUACUUGGAAAGUCAGCUGCCUUUUUGUAAGAACAUUCACCGUGUGCAGCUAGCUGACUACGAGAAGAUGAGCGCGUGUGGCUUGUUCACCGUGGACGCCAUGAUGUCACUGCGACUCUUCGACUUCAUCACCACCUACACCAUCGUUAUCAUGCAGUUCUCCUUCCUUUAAGUCUUCAUCUCUAAGGUCUUCUAGAGUUUUAGUUUCAUCUACUUUUUAGUUUGAGUAAGAAAAAGGCUGAGUAGUAGAUAUGGUUUAAUUGAGUCUCUGAUCAGAGGCUGAGUCAGCGUUCAAAUCAUCAUCUAGUUCCCGUAAAGUAACCAAUAAAUAAAAAAUGCAUUAGUAGUGUCAUACAAAAAUAUGUUACUCAAAUAAAAAUAUCAGAAAGCAAAUUAUAAUAUUCAUACAUAAAUUAGUGUGUUUACUGACAUAAAAAAAUAAAUUAGACAAAUUGAUUCAAACGAUGAUGUAUC